rnacentral:lncRNA from 1 species
CAAAAUCAAAGCAUUACAUUUCCAGUUCCUUCUACCAUGGCCAAGAAACAUCAUCUUUCUCGUACGAGUUCUUCUCAUCAAUUAAAGAUCCUUUUUCUCUCCAAAACUUGCAAUCCAAGAAUUCAUGAUUUGUAGGUUAUGCUUCAAUUUCAACUGCCAAGGAAUAAAAUCAUCUAAUUUUAUGUUGCAAUGGAUUAAUCCAAUCCAAUCCCUUCAAAAUAUGAUGACUUUUAAAGAUCAAGAUAAGUUCCGUAAACCACAUGAAGGCGAACAACCAAUGGCGGAUUUAGAAUUUAGACAAUAUUGAAAAUCUGAGUUGAGAUAGAAAAGUAUAUCUAACUCUUUAUAGUACGUAGGAUUUGUUUUUCUUGUACAUAUAUAGGUCCUUAUCCAAAAGCUCUGGCAUCUGGUCAAACACGCGAACUCAUUGUUAGAUUCGCACGCCGUAGUACGACUCGUGGGAAAUAAAAGGUGAAUAGGGACAAUGAGCUUUCUAUAUAUAGAAAGUUUUGCAUUGAUGUUUCUUGAUUCUUUGACAUCAAUAAAUGGCAUACUUGUUGAUCAUCACAUAAGAGGCAAAAGAGAGGAGAAUAGGAAUAAUAUAAAUCAUCUUCAUGUUAACAAGGUUCAAAUUUUCAGAUUCUUCUUCAAAAAUGGUUUCUAACUUGGGAGCAUUUGAAGUUUUUUGACAAGUGAUAUAAGGAGAAGGAGCUACCUCUACCAAAUUAUGAAUGUAACUCACUUUCUUUCCCAUGUUUGAAAAAUAAAUAAGCUUUCUUUUAAUGCAGGAUUUUGAUGGGAAUUAAAGGAUUG